rnacentral:rRNA from 1 species
CCUACGGGCGGCAGCAGUGGGGGAUAUUGCACAAUGGGGGAAACCCUGAUGCAGCGACGCCGCGUGAGGGAAGACGGCCUUCGGAUUGUAAACCUCUGUCUGUGGGGAAGAAAAUGACGGUACCUGAAGAGGAAGCUCCGGCUAACUACGUGCCAGCAGCCGCGGUAAUACGUAGGGAGCGAGCGUUGUCCGGAAUUACUGGGUGAAAGGGGAGCGUAGGCGGGUGGGAAGGUUGAAUGUAAAAGCUACGGGCUAAACCGGUAGCUGCGUUGAAAACUUCUUGUCUUGAGUGAAGUAGAGGCAGGCGGAAUUCCUAGUGUAGCGGUGAAAUGCGUAGAUAUUAGGAGGAACACCAGUGGCGAAGGCGGCCUACUGGACUUUAACUGACGCUGAGGCUCGAAAGCGUGGGGAGCAAACAGGAUUAGAUACCCGAGUAGUC